GCACGACGCAGUACGACACUUUCUCCCCAGCUGCCCCAAGUGCUGGCACGACGCAGUACGACACUUCCUCCCCAGCUGCCCCAAGUGCUGGCACGACGCAGUACGACACUUCCUCCCCAGCUGCCCCAAGUGCUGGCACGACGCAGUACGACACUUCCUCCCCAGCUGCCCCAAGUGCUGGCACGACGCAGUACGACACUUUCUCCCCAGCUGCCCCAAGUGCUGGCACGACGCAGUACGACAAACUGUACGACAAUACUGCGCGCAAGAACGAUACAACUGUUGACAUAUUUCAAGAUGCCAGGAAUUACGACACAAUAGACCGUUAUCAACACUAUGCCACAAAACCUGACAAUACCAACUGGCCAAGUGAGAGAGGGAGAGGUGAACGAACGUCAGGUAGUCCAUCAAGCCAUCAUGAUAAACUCGACACAAUAAUGAGUACCCAUAAACACCUCACACAGCCCAGCUCGUCCCUGAUGCCAAAGCUGGUGAUGCCAACUGACAUGACCUCCGUAGACAUCCAAGUGGCCCCUGACCUGGGUGGGCGGACAUACGAGGUUCCCGCCACGCCCCCCAACACAGCCACCAUCCCCCUGUCACCUCGCUCACCUCACAUCACCUCGCGCUUGGCGGAGGUGGAGGCCAGGAUGAGAUUGUUGGGGGCGCAGACGGAGAGGGACACCUCGCAGGAUUGGUGGCCCUCAGACACGUCUUCCACUUCCAUCGUCGGGGGGGAGCAGGAGGGCCCGCGGGGAGGGAGGAGAGGGAGGAACCCGUUUUUAGUGAGUGUGGGGGAGAGGGAAGACUCGGUCGGUCUCAGUAGUGUAGACGAGGAGGAAGUGUUCUUACUCCACGACGAGGAUGACGACCACAGAACACACGUCCCACGAGUCUCCCGCCGCGAGUUGAGUACCUCAGACGAGGAGAAAACGACUGCAGGUGUAGUGACCGCGGAAUCCGAGGAAGACGCUAGUGCGAGGAGAGUGCGUGAGUACAUUGCCUCACUGAGUGCUCGGCUGCGACAGAUCCCAGACCAAGAGGAGUCCACGCGAGGUUCCCCGGACUAUAUGGAGACUCCUCCCACCUCGGCCACAUACCCCGCCACGCCCCCUAACUCGGCGGGUAAAGUCUCCCACGAUUCUUCGGAGACGCCUCCAAGUUCGGCGGGGUCCUACACCCACUACGGGGGCGGCCGGCCACCCUCCACCAGCACCCCGCCCAACUCGGCCACUCUCAGGAACUUGUACAGCAGCCGGCGAGCCUCGGCGGACGUGUCGCCCGCCUCCCCGGGGGUGUUUAGCCUCAGCAUCAACAGGAGACUCUCCCUCGACACCCCGCCCAGUUCGGCCGGGCUGGUCACUGCCACGCCCCCAAACUCGGCCACCUCCCACCUUACCUUCGGGGACACACCCCCUAGCUCAGCUGGGUACUCCAACACCCCACCCAACUCUGCUGGGCUAACGGGGAGCUUUGAAGCGGGGCUGGUGGGCCCCGGGGUGGGGCUGGUGGGAGCCGGGGCGGGGCAGACACUCAAGAGAGCCAUGUCGUGCGACUCUGUGAGCUCCGACACCUCCGUCACCCUGGGGGAGCUGGAGGACACCUGCGGCCAGGUAACGGGACACCUGGCCGUCCAACUCAUCUACGACAGCGAUACGGCUGAUCUGGAGGUGGUGGUGGUGGAGGGCCGUGACCUGGUAGGACCUGACCCCCACGUCGCCGUCGAUAGCUACGUCAGGGUGUUUCUCCUGCCUGACAAGUCGACCAAUAUGCAAACUAGGGUGUGUCGACGUACCAACAACCCCACCUACCGCGAGAGAUUCCUGUUCGCCCUGGAGGAGGAGGAGGUACCACAUAGAUCCCUCGCCUUCUACAUGUACGCCUCCGACAAGUUCACCAACACGCUGAUAGGAGAAGCUCAUCUUCGUCUGUCGGAUUUCGAGCUGUCGGGUCCUUGUUCUACUGUACUACCCCUCACUGAUAUGGGCCAGAAGGGCGUGGGGUACGGAGAGAUCAUGUUCUCUCUCUCCUACCUGCCCACGGCUGAGAGACUGACGGUGGUGGUGGUGAAGGCGAGGAGUCUCCAGUGGUUGGGGGACAAGACUACAGGCGACCCAUUCGUCAAGGUGUACGUGCUUCAGAACGGUAAAAAGGUGAUGAAGAAAAAGACGAGUGUGAAGAAGGACAGUCGGUCACCUGUGUUCAACGAGGCGAUGAUCUUCAGUGUGCCGGCCCCAGCCCUCCAUAACAUCCAGCUCCGGGUCACCGUGGCGGAGCACAGCAGCGAUGGUGGUCAGGCCAGAUCAGUGGGUCAUGUGAUCGUGGGAACACAGGCUACAGGCAAGGCCCUCUCUCAUUGGAACCAGAUGAUGUCAGCGUUGAGGAAGCCGAUAGGAAUGUGGCACCCACUGAGGCGGUAAUACACAAGGGAGAUGGGGGUGCCAACAGUGCCAUCUUAAACGUAUGCAAGGAUCAGUAAUGUGAGAAUUUAUUUGACUCACUUAAGUUUCGAUACAAAGAGGGAGUCUCUAAGGUUCCUACGUUAACUUCUCAUAGCUAGUGAUGUGAGAACGUAUCUAACUUCUUCACUUAAGCUACGACACAAAGGUGCCUACUUUAAAUUUUCCUCCUAACUGGUGAUCUGAGAACAUAUCUAACUGACUUACUUAAGCUACAACACAAAGAUGGAUUCUCAAUGGUUCCUACGUUAAAUUUUCCUCCUAACUGGUGUUGUGAGAUCGUAUCUAACUCACUCACUUAAGCUACAACAUAAAAAACUUCACUAAAUUACUUAAAAUCGCCCUACGAAUCAUUGAGACAUCCGACCCAGUACCUCCAUGUAGUCACCUCCAGAAUAUAUUGUAGUAAUCCGUCGGUCAUGGCUGCUUACGACAUAUUGUCAGGAGUUUGAGUCAUCAUUUCUGUGUCGAGGUUAUAGGUAAGACUCAUUCUCUUCCAGUUAGAUUCCUCCUCUCAGCUUCCAGUCAGAACCAACGAGAAUUCUGGUUCAAGUUAUUCGUCUAGGCUCGAGGAGUCUAGGGUGACCUGCCCGGGAAGGUCAUCUGGGUGUGAGGUGUGUUGAUGACCUGCCAGGGAAGGUCAUCUGGGUGUGAGGUGUGUUGAUGACCUGCCAGGGAAGAUCAUCUGGGUGUGAGGUGUGUUGAUGACCUGCCAGGGAAGAUCAUCUGGGUGUGAGGUGUGUUGAUGACCUGCCAGGGAAGGUUAUGUCAUCAAAGAGACUCAAUAUGGCCGUCGUCAACACUGAAGACGACUGAAGACCAAGAGGUGGUGAAAUAACGAUGGUUGUAGAACUAAGUCUCACAACACCUACAGGAUAAAAGUGAUUAUUAGAAACAUGUUGUGAUGGUGAUUAGUAGCGUAAAGAUGCGCUUCUAUGAGCUCUUCCAAUCGGUGAUGGUGAUGUUCAUAUUCUAUAAAGUGAACAGGAAGAACAAUUCAAAAGGUGACUGUGCAGUGAUUCCAUAUAUUGAACAUGAAAAAAACAUUCAAAAGAUGACUGUGAACAUAUCAUUGAGGUGAGGAGAUAAGGAGGAGGACGAUAUAAUCCAAACAUGACUCAAGAACUACACAUCCUAACUCAAUGGCCACCCUUACCCCUCAUACACGUUAAGGUCUCUGGUACACACACACCUCUCAAUAGGCACUUACCAUACAGCACAAAAAUCAAAAAGCACAGGAAGUUAUCUCUUAAUGAAACAAUGUGACUUUAUAAACACAUAAUGAACUACAGAUGUUAAUAGAUGUUGAGGCAAUGUCUUAGUGGUUAUUGAGAAUUAGUUGUCGUUGCGGGAUGACUAAAGGAAGUUCUGUGAGGUGAAUGUUAACAAAGAUGACGUCACGUGUGCGGAUUGGUGGCAGUGGGGAGAUAGUGACAUUGUUGUGAUUGGGUGAACACUCGUCAUGGUGCUUCCUGACUGAGUGUAAAGAUGAUGAAGUGAUAGUGAUGUCGUGAUUAGAAUGAUGAUAAGGGUGAGUGGUAGUGGUGAUAACCGUGGUGACAAUAUUUGGUGAUAGUGAUGCGAUGUGAUGUUCAAAGGUGGUGACUAAUGAAUGUAUGGAACGGUGUACGGAAGGAAUAUGUGAUGACAGUGAUGAUAAUAAUAACAGGCCUUGUAGUGCAGUUACGUGUGAUGAACCAAAAUACUCGCGUGAGAUUUAAAAUACGGAUGACCACAAUGAUGAUGAUAAUACUAGAGAAGGUUUAAAUUGAUGAUAAUUAGGAAGAUUGUCUGUACAGGGCCGUAGAUCAAACUCUCACAGAUAACUCGAUACACCGAGGGGUCCCGCAAGGUCUCUAUCCCACACCGUUUGUAUACAUAACCGAGCUACAUAAUAUAUAUAUACGUAUUUAUUUAUUUAUAUAUAUAAACUACUACUGUAUAGGAUAAGAACUCGUCAGACAUAAUAUAUUCAGCACGCACAGUUCCCAUAAUGCACCGGAAUCGUCUGUGUUCAUAUCAGCUGUGUCUGUCUGUCUGUCUGUUUAUACACACACACACACACACACACACACACACACACACACACACACACACACGCAAAUGUAUCUAUUCACUUUGACAUUUGUGCCUAUGGUUAUGUGUGUGUGUGUGUGUGUGUGUGUGUGUGUGUGUGUAAAACAAUAGCCGUACAUACGCACUUAAUUCCAUGUAUGUGUACAUUAUAUACAUAUAACGAGAGCAGGUGUGUGGCUCAAACAGGUGUAUGGUUCUAACGUCUAUCUGGUUCUAACGUCUAUCUGGUUCUAACGUCUAUCUGGUUCUAACGUCUGUAUGGUUCUAACGUCUGUAUGGUUCUAAACGUCAGUAUGGUUCUAAACGUCAGUAUGGUUCUAACGUCCGUAUGGUUCCAACGUCUGUAUGGUUCCAACGUCUGUAUGGUUCUAACGUCCGUAUGGUUCCAACGUCUGUAUGGUUCUAACGUCAGUACGGUUCUAAACGUCAGUAUGGUUCUAAACGUCCGUAUGGUUCUAACAGAUAUAUAUGUCGCACAAACUAAGGAAUCGUAUUAUUUCUAGGAACCCCCCAGAACUGCUGACAAUGAGACGACCACCACCACAAGGUCCUAUGACUGCCAUGACUAGUUUAAGCAGUGGUAAGAGGGUGGAGGAGGGAUCUUAUCUUAGGGCAGGGAGAGAAUACAGUGGUAAGAGGGUGGAGGAGGGGUCUUAUCUUAGGGCAGGGAAUGAAGAGUGUGGAAGGUUUUAAGACCCUCCCCCCCUCCCCCCUCCCCUCGUAGUUUAGAUGACAGUAGAGUUAAUGUGAGAGGUUCUGGGAACUUCCAUGGCUACAGAUGUUUACAGGAGUCAGGGAAGCAGAGUUUUAGGGUACACAACACCUACACAGUACGUCUACAUGUCUGUUUCUCUGUGACAGUCAUGGAUGUGGGUGCGGAGAGAGAGAGAGAGAGAGAGAGAGAGAGAGAGAGAGAGAGACAGAGAGAGAGCCGCGCCAACCUUCAUGUUUGUCAAAGAACGACGUUUAAGUUAUGUCAAUAGUGACUCUUUGUCCUGAUAUGAAAUAGGUAAAAAGUAAGCAGACAGAAAUACACUCACCGUUAAAACUCCUGUAUUGCCUUAGCGAGAACACGUGUGAGUUCUCAUAUACAUACAUACAUACUGAAGCCAAACUCUUCCAUAGUGAUUGUGAUAACCAACAUAGUCAAGAGUUCAGGUCUAGUGUGGGGUUCCUUAUAGACGUCAGACUCUUUCGUGGAUUCUUUUUACCACAGACAGAAGAGCAUCGGUGUAAAUAAAUCAAAAUGUAUCAUAAAGGAUCGUGUGUAGCAUCAGGUAUACCGUGUGUUAGGAUCAAAAGCAUUAGGUUCUUAUAUAUUAUCGUUUUGAUACGGAAACAUUAUUGGAACAUGUGAGGAAAAAAGAUAGUUAUAUAACCUAACCUCUUCUAAAAUAAAUACUAAACAAUAAUUCUUUGAUAUUGUUAAAGCUAGAGACGUCAUUAUAUAUAUAUUUUGUGUAUGUGUGUAUCAUUGUCUGUCUCACACUAACAAAUAAUAUUGCUUGGCGUUCAGUAUGACAACAGGGUCACUUUUUACUAAACUCUUAAUUGUCCCGGUAAAGACUCACUAAGGCUCCUGGGCUAAAUAUUCCUCAUAACUAAAGAUUUAACACUUGAUCAUACUGGUUAGCGAAGAUAAAAUACUAAAACAGCAUUAAAAUUAACACUGAGACUCUACCCUAACUAGAAACGUUCACUUAGCGCCAGUUAGGAGAAUAUUUUAUACGUAAAUUAACUUUGUCUUCUAACUGAUGAACGUAUCUAGUUAAGGUAAAGUCUCAGUGUUAAUUCUAAUGUUAUUUGUAUGUCUUAUCGUUAGUUAACCAAUAAGAUACAGUGUUACGUGUUUACUUACGACGAAGGAUUCAUCUUACGAACCUCGGUGACUCGUGAUACUAAAAUAAUGUUCCUUAGUCAUUAGUCUUUGGUAGAAUUAGAUUAUUAUAACUAUUUCCAACUUGGACAAUCGACCGCGAGAUCCCACCGUCGCUAACACUGAACUUCUUGAGUCACCUGAUGAUUAGCCCCUCCUAGCAUUUCUCAUCUGAUGGUUAAUUAACACUAAUCAUACCUGGUGGGGGUUAGGUCAGGUCAGGUCAGGUCAGGUCAGGUCAGGUCAGGUCAAUCUCAAGGUGACAUCAGCUGGUGUGCUUAAUCUCCAGGUGAUUCAACUUCUAAAUAAGAACCUUGUUUUAUAAGAAAAUUUUUAUUACCAUUAACUAAUUUGUAUAAAAAAAAUACAAAAAGAAAUACAUAUGAAAAAUAUUACAUAAAAUUCUAUCAACAUCUUUAAUAAAAAAAAAACUUGAAUAUUGUAAGUUUUAAGUUACUAAUGGUCCACAGUGUGUGAUCAUGAUAAUAUAUAGUGACGCCAUGACAUCCCCCCCCACUGUGGCACCAUAACACCCCACACACUCCCACUGUGGCACCAUAACACCCCACACACCUCCCCCCCACUG
rnacentral:misc_RNA from 1 species